AUACGGAGGAUCCGAGCGUUAUCCGGAUUUAUUGGGUUUGAAGGGUGCGCGGGCGGGAGAUUAAGUCGGCGGUGAAAUUUUGCCGCUCAACUGUAAAAGUGCCUUCGAAACUGGUUUCCUUGAGUGUAGAUGAAGUAGGCGGAAUUUGUGGUGUAGCGGUGAAAUGCAUAGAGAUCAUGAGGAACUCCGAUUGCGCAGGCAGCUUACUAAACUACUACUGACGCUCAGGCACGAAGGCGUGGGGAUCAAACAGGAUUAGCUACCCUGGUAGUCCACGCAGUAAACGAUGAUUACUAGCUGUUUGCGAUACAAUGUAAGCGGCUGAGCGAAAGCGUUAAGUAAUCCACCUGGGGAGUACGUUCGCAAGAAUGAAACUCAAAGGAAUUGACGGGG
rnacentral:rRNA from 1 species